CCGUCUCUCGAGGGUCGUGGAGCUGCACUGUCUGCUGUCCAAUGCCUGAAAAAAGCUGCUCCGUACAAACGUCUACAGGGGUUCAUGGUGGGAAGGGGGGUCUAGGUCCCUCACGCCACGAGGGCCGGGUCUGGGGGUUUAGUUUCUGCUUUUCUGCCGACUCGGUCACAGCCAUGAGUCUGCAGCUGCAGGAGGUGCUGACGCCUGAGCUCACUGUGCCAUCCCGCCUGGAGGACCACGCAGUCUCACGAGGAGUCUCACGGCAGCUUCUCAGAGACGCUGGUCGGAGGACACUUGACUACACAAGAGGCACUCCUGUUGGCUUUCCCUGGGGCCCUGGACCAAGUCCUCUCCCAUCGUUUCCGAGGGCCUCCAUCACUCGGGCCACUCUGGGUCCCAACAGGGGGUGAGGCCACCAUCACGGUGUCCCCAAGCCCACGUUUCACCCACCCUGCCUCUGGGGAAGGGACGCAAAGAGACAGGAUCUAAGUCAGGAAACACACAUCCCCAUGACAGAGGGAACCAGUUUCCUCCCAGAAUCGCCACCUUGGCAGCACACUGUGCAAGCCUGAGACCAGCUGGGCCCAGGGCCGGCUGGAAGAUGACCGGGACCCAGAAAGAGGGUGGCCCUCCCUGCGAUGCCGAGUCCCUGGGGCCGUGGGACCCUUGUGUGUUCGCUCAGGCCCAGAGCAGAGCCUGGCUGUGUCCACAGGCUGCAGGCGCCAUCCUAGGCCUCCCAGGGGGAAUCUUGGAUCUCUGGGCAUUUCAUGGAAACCAGCUUGGUCAAGAUAAGUGAUUUUUCAAACUACUGCUACUGAUAAUUUCCACCAUUUUAUUGGGUGGCUGCUACUUGUGGACCACCUGCUAAUUGUUUUACAUGCGUGAGGCAGGCACUCUCCUCGUCUGCUUUCUCCAGGUGAGGAAAUUGAGGAUCAGAGAGGUAAAUUAACCUGGCCAGGAUCACACAGCUGGUGAGUGGCAGCAGAGAAGGGAUUUGUACUCUUAGCCAUGACACUAGGUUGCCUUCUGUGUUCACUGUUUAAGCUUGAAAAGGUUUUUAGGUCUAAACGUGUAGUUGGGGGAAAGGAAAAACAAGAGAAUUAGCAUUAAAUUAACACCUUUAGUAAUACUAACAGCAGCACAUCUCAUUGACUCCUUGAGGCUCUUCUCUUCUCCUUCGCAUUUUAUCAUCUCUGAAACGUGGAUUCAUCUUGCAGUGCUCGUGUGUCUAGUUCAUGUCGGCCUGAGGGUCUGCUGGUUCACCCAGGAAUUUGGGCUGCUUUCCAGGCUCUGUGAGCUCAAGAAACAGCAGAUCACGAAGUCCAGGCCCUGACCUGGGGGCUGCUCGGGCCUUUUGGAAAGCAGGCCCCGAAAGACGACAUUCUCCUCUGGCCGUGGCAGACUUCCGUGCAUGGAAGUGUUUCCCGGAGCGCAAGGGACAAAGUCCCUGUGUCGGAGGGAGCAGGUCACCGCGCGACUCACUGGGACUCUCAGGCGCUGGGGAGGGGCUGCCGGCCGGCCCUGCUGGGCUCUGGCAGCUCACUGCUGGGUCCAAGCCGCUGCUUUGCCACUUACUAGCUGUGCGACUCGGGCAAGUGACUUCCGCUCCCGUGCCUCGGUUUCCUCCUCGGUAAGGUAACUCCUGUGGAAUAUCGCCUGGCACGCGGUGCGUGCUCCGUAAACCCAGUUGUCCUGAGGAUUCAUCGGGAGGACGUUCCCAGGAGAGCUCUUACCAGCCCAGGUGAGGAGCUCUUUUAAUGUACGAGUUCUAGCCUGUGUUUCUACAAGUUCGUUUCUAGAUCACGGACACGAGGGACCCAACUUUCCAGUUUGGGUCCCACUUCUACGAAACAAUGGCAUAAAACAGGAAGAAAAUGCAACCGACUAAGGAAACACCCUGGGCCCCGUGGACGCUGUGAGGGCUCUUGGACAAUCUGUGCUGUCCACGCCAGGGUUAAAUACACAGACUCGGGUCGUCAGUCGUUGGCUUUGAGUGCUGGUCUCUGUCCGGCAGUGAGCUCUCAGACAAGCUCCUCGGUGACCCAGAGUGUGAGAGGAGGAAGACCACUGACCUCGCCUCGGUGGGUCGUUGUGCGGCCAGUCCGUGGGCACGUGCCGGCACACAGUGAGCCCCGGAGCACUGGCCCUCAGGAUCGCUGUCAUUAUUAUUUGUCGCUAUUCCUCUUAAUGACUUAAUGAGACAGCGCGUGCACCACAGUGCCGGCACAGAGUGCUUCGUAAACGGUCGUCGGCAACAUCAUGACGAUUCUUAUUCUCUGCAGUGGGUGAGGUUGAGGCCACACGCUACCAUGUGGAUUUACAGAGCACAGGUGGCUGCAGAAGCUGGGGCUGGCCUGGUGGCGUAGCACUAAGUUCAGUUCACGCACUCUGCUUCGUAGGCCUGGGGUUCGCAGGUUCAGAUCCUGGGCGCAGACCUAGCAGCGCUUAUCAAGCCAUGCUGUGGCAGGAAUCCUGCAAAUAAAAUAGAGGAGGAUGGGCAUGGAUGUUUUCUUGGGGCCAAUCUUCCUCAAAAAAAAAAAAAAAGAAAAGAAAAGAAAAAAAAGGAGUGGCUGCAGAAGCUCAAAUAGCACGUCAUCCCACAGGAAAUGGAAAGUUCCACAAGGAAGGGCCUGGAAUUGGAACAGGCAUCUUGAGUUCACUCCCAGCCCCAUCAGGAGCGGGAUGGGUGCCCGCCUGGGAUUAGGAGCCCCCCCCACCUGGAGGGCCUCGGGCUUGUUCAUCGGGCAGGGCAGCCUGAGGAGGGUUAUCGCCCUGGAAGGAUGCCUGGCAUCCGAGCUGAGCCUGGGCGAGCUGCCCUGUGCCGAGGAUCCCUUGCCUGCCCCAGACAAAGCCCAGCUCCUAGCUCAGCCCACCUGGGGGCCUCCUCCCAUCUGGACCCCUGAUGCCUUGUCUCGCCCAGCUCAGACCCCCAAACUCGCUUGUCCUCUUCCUUCCCUGCCUCUCUAUGCAGUGACCUGCCACUCCCUCCUCUGUGCCUCCCUCAUGGUGCUACCUAGGCUAGGAGGGGUUUGCCUACAGCCUGGUCACCCUCCCUGGGCUGUGGGCUUCCAGAGGCUGGGGCUGCUGAGGCAAGGUCUCCCCACGGUGAGAGGGGGGCUCUGGAGCCAGGCCGGCAUCCAGGCGCAGCUGCUUCUCAACCGGUUCCCCUCAGCAAGUUCUGCUCAGAUCCUCAUUUUCCCUCUCUGUAGAAUGGAGAGAAUAUGCCCCGCUACCUCACCAGGUUGUGAUGAGAAUUAAGGAAUUUGAUACGUAUCAAGAGCUUAGAAUAUUGCUUGGCACAUAGUAACUGCUCAGUAAAUGCUGGCCGUUAUUGUUAUCGGCUGCAUUGUUAUUCCCAUCGGUACCCUCCAGAGUCCAGCAGGGGCUGGCACCGGGCAGGUGUGUGAUGCAAAUUAGUGACUUUGUGCCUUUCCAUCAGGAACCUCCAGAUGUUCACGACGAAAGGGUCUCUGGGUGGGGUUUGUGGGUGUUAGAACCAGGCUUCCGCGAUGUGCCGACUGUAUCUUGUCGGGGACCGCUGCUUCCCCAGGGUUCCCAAGGGCAUUUAGCUUUUCCUUCUCCCUUCCUCCGUCGCCCUCUUCUUUCUUCCCUGUCUCCCUCCCUUUCCUCCUCUUCUCCCCGCUCCUUUCUUUCCCUUACGAGGAGCAGAGCAGUGCUAGGAUGAUCACACGCAUCCUUGCGGGUAUUUCUGCUUCUAUUGUUGGGCUCGGUUUCUAGCACGAGACCUGAUCCUUUAAUGAAACCAACUAGCUGCUCUUAAGAAGCCCCAAGCUCUGCUGGCGCUCUGAGGAUGCUCGCCUAUCCGCCAUCAAAUGCUUUCUGUCCUAUUUUCCACGGGACACGUGGGUCCCAAACCCGCCCCGUGAACCCAUCUCUUACUGACUGGGGAACAUUUCUUUCAAGAAUACCAGUGACUUUGCCCCAGGGCCCUGUCCUCACCAGACAAACAAGGCGUCUGCUUAUGCCUUGGGCCGAGUGAGUCCUACGACUCAUGCAGAAUCCAAAGGCCCUGCCCCAGGAGGGGCACUGUGGGCGGUGAUGUCACGAGCAGCCAGAUGUCAGGAGCCUGGAUGCCUCAGAUGGCAAGCUUUGGAUUUUAAUUCUCCUUUGUUCCUAACAACUGGAAACCUUCAAAAGCAUUCAAUGAGGACUCAACCGGAAGACUUGAUAUUCACAAACAGGCUUUGAAAGCAAGCCCAGACCCAGUCACGACUUCCCUCGUGUGGAACGUGCAUGGAGACGGGCGCGUGGCGGUCGGGAUGAAGCAGAGAAGCUCUGGGAGGAGCCCAGCCUUCACCUUGGCGUUGACGUCUGUUCCCGGAAUCUCCAGGCUGACCCGCCACCGGGACCCCUGCGAGGAAGCCCGGAACACAGCUCUGCAGCCAGUUGGUGCCAGGUGUGAGUGUGACUUUACCACCUACCCAGCAGAGUGACCUUGAACAGGCCUCUUAACCUCUCUGAGCCUCAGUUUCCCCCUCUGGAACAUGGAACAGUAAUAGUACUUUCCUCCUACAGUGUUUCCGAGAGCUGGCACACGGUAAAUAACACACAAAUCAUGAAUUAUUAUUAUUUGUAUCGUCAUUCCAACUUCAAGACCAACCUGGCUAUUUAAAGCACAUUUUCAGCAGGAAACCGAGUUCAAUCAUUACAGUCUUCCUUCUAAUCUGGCUGUAAACAAUUACUCUUUCCAAUUUCCUUGGCCUAGGCAGAGUUUCCUCUGAGUCAGUCUGUAAACCACCUGCAUCCUAAUUAAUCCUCAUUAUCCAAUCACUCAGAGAAGGUUGACUUAGGGACAGCCAUUUGCCCCCUGCCCCACAAAUAUCUGUUCUCUCAUCAACACAAUGCUAGCUGGUUACAUGGCCGCCCAGACCAAGACUACAUUUCCCAGACUACCUUGCAGCUGGGCGUGGUCACAGUGUUAGCCAAUGGGAAUGAGAAGAAGAAGUGAUAUGCAGAAGUUCUCAGUUAUGUCCUCAAAGGUCUGGGAAUGCCCUCCGUUCCUUUUCUCCCCUCACGGUGAAAGGGACAUGGUGGCCAGUCGUUUGGGGCCAUGUGGACAACGGCUACCCCCUAGACGAGGCUGAGAGAUAGGAUGGAAGGAGUCUUGGUGCCCAGCACCAGGAAACUGCCUUAUUAGCUGCGGAUGGUUACGGGGCAGGGAGAGUGACAUCUCUUUUGUUUAAGCUGCUUUGAUGUCCGGCACGUCUAUCUUAACUAACGUAGUGGUUGCAUAGGUUUUGUCCUGUCUGAUGAUGUACAUGGAUGAGCUGGAAUUUGCAGUGCUGGUUAACGUCCAUGCUAAGUCACAGAGUUGACAUAAAGCCUCGUAUUAAACAAAACCACAUCAAACCGAGUGUUCCUUGAUUAGUGACUUAUAGAGCUUCCUUUUCUCAUCGAUAAACUUAUUUUCAAGAAUACAUGUUUGUGAAAUGGUUGCAUUCAUUUCUUAUUUUUAAUUUUGUCAUUUUAAUGUUGUCUUUUAAUGUACAGCAACUAUUUCCUUGUCAUGGUAUUUACUUUUGUGAUUGUCUUUUAAAAAAUUAAGAUAUAGUUUAUAUAUAGAAAAUUCACCCUUUUAAGGUGUACAGUGCAGUAGUUUUUAGUAUAUUCACAAAGUUGUGCAACCGUCACCACUGUCUAAUUCCAAAACUUCUUCAUCACCCUCAAGAGAAACUCCAUACCCAUUAGCCGUCACUCCCCUUUUCCCCUUUUCCCAGCCCCUGGCAAUGCCUUUUCUACUUCCUGUCUGUGGAUUUGCUCAUUCUGGACGUUUCAUAUAAAUGAAUAAUAUCAUAUGUGGCCCUUUGUGUUUGAUUUCUUUUGCUUAGCAUGUUUUCAAGGUUCACCCAUGUUGUAGCAUGUACCAAUACUUUAUUCCUUUAUAUGGCCUAAUAAUAUCCCAUUGUAUGAAUCUAUAUCACAUUUUUUUAUCCAUUCACCUGUUGAUGGACAUUUGGGUUGUUUCCACUUUUUGCUAUUAUGAACGAUGCUGCUAUGAACAUUCCUGUACAAGUUUUGUGUGAGGAUAUAUUUUCAGGUCUCUUGGAUACGUAGCUAGGAGUGGAAUUGCUGGGUCAUGUGGUAACUCUGUGUUUAACUCUCUGAGGCGCUGCCAAACUGUUUUCCAAGUGGCCACACGCUCUUACAUUCCUGCCAAUAAUGUGUCAAGGGUCCAAUUCCUCCACAACUUCACCAACAUUUGUUAUCACUCCUCUUUUUGAUAGUCAUCCUAGUGGGUAGGAAGUAGUAUCUCGUUGUUUUGAUUUGUGUUUCUCUAAUGACUAAUAAAGUUGACUUUUCAUAUGUGUUUUGGCUAUUUGUGUGUCUUCCUUGAAGAUAUGUCUAUUCAGUUUCUUUACCCAUUAAAUUGGGUGUCUUCAUUGUUGAGUCGUAAGGAGUUCUUUUUGUGUUCUGGAUACAAGAUCCUUCUCAGAUAUAUGACUUGUGUAGGGUCUCGCUUGCCCAGUAAUAGCCUAUGUGUCCUAUAGCAACCAUGGGUCCUCCUGGCCUCCUUCGAGGUGUGACACCAACCAUCUGGUGUUUUAAUAAUCCAGAGCUGCAUCUGCUUAUCUCAAAGAGCAUCAUGUCUUGAAGGAACACAGAGCCCUUCCAUGUGAGCUGCUGGUCCUUGGAAUUCUGGUCCUUCAAGGACAGUUGGUUUUGGUUAAGAAUAACUUGGGAAGAAACGAGAGACAAAAAAGACUAAGACAGCUGAUCCAAGGCCUCCACUGGCCAAUGGAAAUGCUCCUGGGAGAGGAAGAAGGAGACAGGCAAGAAAUGUUGGCAAGUCCCAAUCAAACCCAUUGGUGGCUGUCAAAACCACGAAUCGGAUGAUGAGGGUCUUUCAGCUUCCCAAGAAUGGCUGUAGCCACCCAACAUUAGCCGCUCCGUGCUUCUGGGUGGUACCAUGGACAGCAGCCAGACCUAGUUGGGUGAGGGUGCUCAUGACCUGGAAGGCCAAGGGUUCUUGUCUUCGUUCCAUGGUGUCUGGGCGCCAGCUCCGUGGCCUAGUGGUUAAGCUCAGCAUGCUCCAUCUGGGCAGCCCAGUUUCAUGGUUUCAGUUCCUAGGUAUGGACCUACACCACUCAUCAGCCAUGUUGUGGUGGUGACCCACAUAUAAAAUAGAAGAUUGGCACAGAUGUUAGCUCAGGGCUAAUCUUGCUCAAGCAAAAAAAGAGGAAGAAUGGCACAGAUGUUAGCUCGGGGAUAAUCUUCCUCAGCAAAAAAAAAAAAAAAACCUACAAAAAAUCCAUGGUGUCUGGGUUUGUGCUAGGUUCUUUUUGGAACACAGGGAUGAGCAAGGAGUUAUCUCCUACUGGGAGAUCUGACCCUUUUGCACAGAGCUACAUAGAAGGAAAGGAGGCAUGAGAGGAGUGAGCUGGACAUAAGGUGGGAAAAAUGGGUCCAAAUUCCGCCACUAGCCCAAGGUCACAGGGCUAGUGACAGAGCAUAACCUCUCUUGGAGUCUCCCUUUUCUCUUCCACAAAGUGGGCUUGAUCCUCCACUGAUCCUGUGGGUGACAAGAGUCAGUGCUGGACAGAUGAUCAGUGAUAGGCAGGUGUGGGGCAGCGGCCGAGGCAGCCUGUCAAGUGCUGUGUGCCUGCUUCCUAGCACAGUGCCUGCCAUAUAGCCAGAACUUCAGCAGAUGUUCGAGGAAGGAAGAAAGGAGGGAGGAAGGAGGACCGGUUGCUGAUCCUUCUCCUGUUUGCAGCCUAUAGCACAGGGCUUGGCACCCAGGGGCCCACUGCCUCAUCACUCCUUCCUAAGCAUCGCUUCCUUCCUGUGUCUCUCUUAUUGUGUGCAAAGCCCAGGAGGCAGCCUUACCUUACCAAUCGACUCAUCUAGAACUCAAGAGGAGCCUGGCGUGCCAGGAGCCUUGGGAACGCUCCUUUGCCUUCAUCCCUCAGCCUGGGAGGCCGACUUGAAGAGUCUGGGGAUGUCCCGAGCCCAUCGGAGACUGUGUCUCAGGAGGAUGAAACGGUGGAGCCGGGAUCUGAAUUCCUGCUACUCAUCACAUAGAUUUCAACAGCUUUCCUCGUCUUGCUGGAGAAACAAACUCAAGGAAUCUUAAAUGACUGCACUGGGAUCUCCAUUAUUGCCGACUGUGACCCCAGGUGUUAAUGUACUUCGUGCGUUAGCCACGCCCGGUACCUGGAGUGGACCUGGGAAGCCCGUGGAGGCCCUUUGUCCCUGUUCUCUUUGCCAAGAGCUCCCUGGAGCUGGUGCCCCGGCUCCUCAUCUGAUGUCGGGGAGACUCCCCUGACCGCUCGGCUCAUGGUGGCCCUUGUCCGCCUGGUCGCCCUCCUGCACAUCAACCUGCUUUGUUCCCUGUAUGGCAGUCGUGUUAUCUGAAGUCACCUUAUCCAUUUAUGAGUUUAGGUGUUUGUGUCUUCCACCCUCAAGUUCCAUGAGAACAGGGACUGUGUUGUCUUCCCCUCUGUGUCUUUGGGGCCUAGAAGCAUCCCUGGCACACAGUAGGUGCUUAUCAAAUGGACUGGACGGAUGCCUGACUUGGUCCGUGAUAAGCAGCCUAGAUAAGCUGCGGUGGGUGGCAGAUGGGGAGGGGAUGUUGAGUCUGGAGGGGGAAGGAGCGGUUUGUGCUGGGUGUCUGCCCCUCAGAGCCACCCCCCAGCCCUCCCUCUCCCCGGGAGGAGGCUGCCCGUGGGGACCAUGUCAGCGAGUCCUCUGGAACCCCGGCUUCGCCGGGGUCCGGCCAGAGUUCAAACAUCCAUGACAGGUUUAGUUGUCCUCAGCAGGAGGAACACAGAAGAGUUCAUCCACGGAAGAUAUUUUUAUUAUUAUUAUUAAAUCUCUGUUCUUCCUCCCUUGCUGAGCGGAGGUGAGAAUGAGGCGCGCAGGUGCCCUGCACAUGGGAGGCCCCCUGCAGGCAGGGACCUCUUACCAACAGCACCGUG
rnacentral:lncRNA from 1 species